GUGCUUGCUUUGGCAGCACAUAUACUAAAAUUGGAACAAUACAGAGAAUAUUAGCAUGGCUCCUGUGUAAGGAAGACACACCCAUUCAUGAGGUGCUCCAUAUUUUU